CCUACGGGAGGCAGCAGUGAGGAAUAUUGGUCAAUGGACGAGAGUCUGAACCAGCCAAGUAGCGUGAAGGAUGACUGCCCUAUGGGUUGUAAACUUCUUUUAUAAAGGAAUAAAACGAGGCACGUGUGCCUUUUUGCAUGUACUUUAUGAAUAAGGAUCGGCUAACUCCGUGCCAGCAGCCGCGGUAAUACGGAGGAUCCGAGCGUUAUCCGGAUUUAUUGGGUUUAAAGGGAGCGUAGAUGGGUUGUUAAGUCAGUUGUGAAAGUUUGCGGCUCAACCGGAAAAUUGCAAUUGAUACUGGCAGUCUUGAGUACAGUAGAGGUAGGCGGAAUUCGUGGUGUAGCGGUGAAAUGCUUAGAUAUCACGAAGAACCCCGAUGGCGAAGGCAGCUUACUAAACUUUGACUGACAUUGAUGCUCGAAAGUGUGGGUAGCAAACAGGAUUAGAUACCCGGGUAGUC
rnacentral:rRNA from 1 species